GAUGAACGCUAGCGGGAGGCCUAACACAUGCAAGCCGAGCGGUAUUUGUCCUUCGGGACAGAGAGAGCGGCGUACGGGUGCGGAACACGUGUGCAACCUGCCUUUAUCUGGGGGAUAGCCUUUCGAAAGGAAGAUUAAUACCCCAUAAUAUAUCGAAUGGCAUCAUUCGAUAUUGAAAACUCCGGUGGAUAGAGAUGGGCACGCGCAAGAUUAGAUAGUUGGUGAGGUAACGGCUCACCAAGUCAGUGAUCUUUAGGGGGCCUGAGAGGGUGAUCCCCCACACUGGUACUGAGACACGGACCAGACUCCUACGGGAGGCAGCAGUGAGGAAUAUUGGACAAUGGGGGAGGGCCUGAUCCAGCCAUCCCGCGUGAAGGACUAAGGCCCUAUGGGUUGUAAACUUCUUUUAUACUGGGAUAAACCUACUUACGUGUAAGUAGCUGAAGGUACAGUAUGAAUAAGCACCGGCUAACUCCGUG
rnacentral:rRNA from 1 species